GAUGAACGCUAGCGGCAGGCCUAACACAUGCAAGUCGAGGGGUGGAGGAAGCUUGCUUCCUUGAGACCGGCGCACGGGUGCGUAACGCGUAUGCAAUCUACCUUGUACAGGGGGAUAGCCCAGAGAAAUUUGGAUUAAUACCUCAUAGUGUUUAAGAGUGGCAUCACUUUUUUACUAAAGUUCCAACGGUACAAGAUGAGCAUGCGUCCCAUUAGCUAGUUGGUGUGGUAACGGCAUACCAAGGCAAUGAUGGGUAGGGGUCCUGAGAGGGAGGUCCCCCACACUGGUACUGAGACACGGACCAGACUCCUACGGGAGGCAGCAGUGAGGAAUAUUGGGCAAUGGAGGCAACUCUGACCCAGCCAUGCCGCGUGCAGGAAGACGGUCCCUAUGGAUUGUAAAACUGCUUUUGUA
rnacentral:rRNA from 1 species